GUUUUUCAUUCCUUCUAUGAGGAGAUGAGUAUUGAGGAUAAAAUUCCCCAUAAUGUUAAGAACCUAUUUGUAGAUUUAGCUGAGAGUAUUGCGGGUAGUCUUAAUGUAACUAACUGUUUUGAAUGUGGAGGUACUAAUAUGGGAGACCAGUGGCCAUGGGAAGCAAAGUACCAUGGUUCUGAGACAGAUGAACAACAGAUACUUUCUCAGUCUGAUCAUCAAGUAAGUACUAGAGGUAAAUCAGAAUGGCGGUUAAAAACCUCUGUUAUAGGUCAUGUUUGUGUAGCUAGGAAAAGGACAAUGUAUAACACGUCUGUAGGUGAGUUAGCAUGUUUGGGACAAAAGGCUUAUAAUGAUAAUACAAAAGAUACUACUUGGUGGUCAGCUUCAAAUGUCUCGGAACCUACUAAUCUGUUUGCCAAUUACACUAAUUUGAAAGAGGUAUGGUUUGAUUUAUCUGCUACAUCCAAUUGGAAAGCCCCAGCAAAUCUAUACUGGAUCUGUGGUAAGAAGGCAUAUUCAGAGUUACCACAAGACUGGUAUGGGGCAUGUGUACUAGGUAUGCUCAAACCAUCCUUCUUCUUGUUGCCAAUCGAAACAGGAGAG